rnacentral:rRNA from 1 species
GGAUUCCCCUAGUAACUGCGAGUGAAGCGGGAAAAGCUCAAAUUUAAAAUCUGGCGGUCUCUGGCCGUCCGAGUUGUAAUCUAGAGAAGUGUUACCCGCGCUGGACCGUGUACAAGUCCCCUGGAAUGGGGCGUCAUAGAGGGUGAGAAUCCCGUCUCUGACACGGACUACCAGGGCUUUGUGGUAUGCUCUCAAAGAGUCGAGUUGUUUGGGAAUGCAGCUCAAAAUGGGUGGUAAAUUCCAUCUAAAGCUAAAUAUUGGCGAGAGACCGAUAGCGAACAAGUACCGUGAGGGAAAGAUGAAAAGAACUUUGGAAAGAGAGUUAAACAGUACGUGAAAUUGCUGAAAGGGAAACGCUUGAAGUCAGUCGCGUUGGCCGGGAAUCAGCCUCGCUUUUGCGUGGUGUACUUUCUGGUUUGACGGGUCAGCAUCAAUUUUGACCGCUGGAAAAAGGCUUGGGGAAUGUGGCAGCUCCGGCUGUGUUAUAGCCCCUUGUCACAUACAGCGGUUGGGAUUGAGGAACUCAGCACGCCGCAAGGCCGGGUUUCGACCACGUUCGUGCUUAGGAUGCUGGCAUAAUGGCUUUAAGCGACCCGUCUUGAAACACGGACCAAGGAGUCUAACAUGCCUGCGAGUGUUUGGGUGGAAAACCCGAGCGCGUAAUGAAAGUGAAAGUUGAGAUCCCUGUCGCGGGGAGCAUCGACGCCCGGACCAGAACUUUUGGGACGGAUCCGCGGUAGAGCAUGUAUGUUGGGACCCGAAAGAUGGUGAACUAUGCCUGAAUAGGGUGAAGCCAGAGGAAACUCUGGUGGAGGCUCGUAGCGAUUCUGACGUGCAAAUCGAUCGUCAAAUUUGGGUAUAGGGGCGAAAGACUA